rnacentral:sRNA from 1 species
AGCUAGCCCUGAUUGUAGUGACAUCCUCUCGAUUUAUCGAGAGAUAAAACGGAAAGCAGGUAGAAAC